rnacentral:ncRNA from 1 species
UGACAGGCUGUGAAAGGGAAUAGUAAGCAGGGCGCGCGUUACAGAGAGGGGAUCAAUGGUGGGAGAUCUCUACGAAAGCGGAGGCUGAACCGGCCCGGGAGCUUUGUAUGAUGAAUGCAACGUAGAUCCGGCGUUAACGGAUGAAAAGCGGGUUCCCGGCUGCGGGAGCCAAUUUGGGUGGUACCGCCGAGCCAUUCGGUCCCAUGU